rnacentral:rRNA from 1 species
AGUGAACGCUGGCGGUAGGCCUAACACAUGCAAGUCGAACGGCAGCACAGUAAGAGCUUGCUCUUACGGGUGGCGAGUGGCGGACGGGUGAGGAAUACAUCGGAAUCUACUUUUUCGUGGGGGAUAACGUAGGGAAACUUACGCUAAUGCCGCAUACGACCUACGGGUGAAAGCAGGGGAUCUUCGGACCUUGCGCGAUUGAAUGAGCCGAUGUCGGAUUAGCUAGUUGGCGGGGUAAAGGCCCACCAAGGCGACGAUCCGUAGCUGGUCUGAGAGGAUGAUCAGCCACACUGGAACUGAGACACGGUCCAGACUCCUACGGGAGGCAGCAGUGGGGAAUAUUGGACAAUGGGCGCAAGCCUGAUCCAGCCAUACCGCGUGGGUGAAGAAGGCCUUCGGGUUGUAAAGCCCUUUUGUUGGGAAAGAAAAGCAGCAGGUUAAUACCCCGCUGUUCUGACGGUACCCAAAGAAUAGGCACCGGCUAACUUCGUG